GCAUGUCUAAAAGAUUUUUUAAAUAAAUAUGCCUAGUUAAAAUUGGUGGUGUAUAUAUUAACUGAAAUUAAAAUUUAUGAACUGGAUAAAAUUAUAUUAUUUUUGAAAUUAUAACACAAGCAAUGAAGAAAACACAAUUUUCUUGAAAAACAAUACACAAUUGCAUUUUUCCUUUUCAAAAGCUUAAAGAACAUAAUUUUUAUUUUAAAAAAUCACAGAAUUUUUUGUUCCUUCAUUGGAAAUCUUACUGAAGAAAAAUUCAUAUGGGGAUGAGAAGAAUAAAAGCUUAGAUUCUCAUUCAUGGAAAGACCAGAAAUUACCAUUUUCAUUCAAACUAGAAAUCACCAUUCCCUAACAUCAUUAAUAUAGUAAUCUAAAAUUAUUUUUAAAAGUAUACAUAUUUAGUUGAAUUUAAAAAAAAAAUCUCCCAAAAUAGUUUUUAGUUAAGAAUCAAAUAGUUUAGUUAACGUAUUAUUUACAACAAUUUAUUUUGAUUUUAUUAAUGGAAAGGAUAUACUUUGAUGUUUUCUCAAUAUAUACAUACUUCCCUACUUAUAGAAUGUUUGAUGAAUAAUUGUCUGAUGUAAGUAUUACACAUUCCAUUUAUAUCCAACAUGUAAAGUACAAUUUAUGUCUUACUGUAAAAUUUCAUAAUGUAAACUUUUAAGAGUCUUCUAAAUUUUCAAGUGUUACUAGGUUAAUUUGGUUUCAUUCUCCAAACUAAAGCAAAUUUAUUAUUAAUUUAUUUUUUUUUAAAGUAUAACCAGAAUAUAAUGUCUACAUUUUCAAAAGGUUACUUCCCUUUGCAGAAUUAAGCUGGACAUACAGUCAACAUAGCAAUGGCAAUAUUUUGUGUACUAACAGUGUGGCUAUUGGAAUAGAUGGCGACUUGUCCGGCCGGUAAUGUAGGAAGCUUCUCUUCAAUUUGAAGCCGACAGCGGCAUUUCAGUAAUCCUGACACAUUUUGCAGGGGUGUAUGCCAAAGCUCCUUCUGUUUUGUGCAAUCAUCUGAAAUAAGACUUGAGGACCCCAAAGGCCUGCUCCACACAAUUCCUUGUCUUGAUGUGGCUCUCGUUGAAUUUCUCCUCCUGUCUCGUCUGAGGAGCCAGAAUGGGAGUCAUCAGCCAGGGUCGGAGAGGAUAUCCGCUGUCUCACAGGAGCCAACCUCCACCUGGUAGCGGCUCCAUCAUCUCAGGUCAGCUGUACCAAUGCCCUGCAUAUUGAUGGCAUGGAAUCCUUUCCGAGACACAAAUACAUGCUCGUCGUCCCAAUACAUUCUAAUGACGGGAAUUAGCGUGCCAUCAAUGGUUCCAACUAGAUUCGGGAAGUUGGACACUUUCAAAAAAUCUUCCUUGAUGCGGAGAAUCUCAGCUUGGCCUGAGGGAAUAUGAUGUUGUCUUAAAUAUAUAUAUAAUUAGGGGCAUCUACGACAUCCAUGAAGGUCCCACUGAAGGACGGCUGUGAAAUGCCAUGUAUAUCUGCUACCUCUGACUGAAAGUAGCCUUUUGUCUGGACACAUAAAGUUCACAAUACCUGUUAAUAUUUAUACAUAUAAUUUGAUUGUAUUUUCUUGUUGAAAUUUGUUGUUUUUCUUUGUCAUAUAUUAAAUGUCUUAUAAAUAUAACUUGUAUAAUGUUUUUAGUUCACCUGAGCUGAAAGUACAAGUAAACUUUUCUGAUCAUAUUCUAUCAGUAGUGAUCUGUUUGUCUUUAUUCAAGGGGAUAUGAUUAGGAAAUAAUGUAACACAAUGAGCGUAUAAAUUAUAAGUUUAAUUGAUAUAUUAAUUUGUACAGUACAUUUAUCUAUGUUUUAAUAUUGUGUUAUGAAUUAUAAUUGAUACUAUCAGUGUGUAGCACGACGGACAAUAAUAUCUUAAAUUACGAACUUGUUUACAAACUUUGGGGGAUAGAAUACAAUAACAGAGCGUCUUCAUUUGACGGACAAUUAGUUUUUACGACGUGUUGUUCUCGAGCAUUGACACUUCCAAUCAGACUUUGUGUAGAGCUGCAGCCAUCUAAUUAACUGAAGAAUGUGCAAGAUGUAUAAUGUUAAUGUAAACAGAGGACAUUGCCGUAUCCUAGAAGGAGAUGGGAGACAGAGCUUCAGUGAGGGGCGGACAAUAUGAAUACUAACGAAGUGACACUCUAACUAACUAAUUGCUAUUACCAAAUAUGUGAACCCUAUGAUGCAGCUUCUUGUACAAAAGGUGUGCGCACUGAGUAUCAAUAGCUUUUACCAUCCUAGCUCCGAGACGGACCAAGAGAGCUUUUAACAUCUUAGCUCCGAAACGGACCAUGAGAGCUUUUACGAACUUAGCUCCGAGAUCUUUAUAAUAGAACUUUUCAUGUACCAUUGUUUGUUUAACCUUUGCUGUGACUUUUUAAUAAAACUAUGAACUAACAAAAGUCUUCUUAAUCCAAACACAUUGGCUAAUUGUGUUAUAUAACGGAUUAAUUGGUGCCGUGACCAGGACGAGAACGGGAAGUCUCACAACGCUGAAAAGUGAAAGGAAACCCACGACUACUGUAAGUAACUGUUUUAUCAUACCUUGAUUUUACAGUAUGGACAACCAAGACAUGGGGAACGGUUUUGACUUGGGGGUGCCUUUAUGACCCUGUCGACUGUAAUAGAAUCUAAAUUUGACGGCCUUGAUUCUACAGUUAAAGGUUUAUCAAAUGCAAUUGGUACAAAUGGGAUUUCAAAUAUUAUAACACCGUAUGAGGGGGAUCCUGGCAAAUUUAAAGACUGGUUAAAAUCAAUUGAAAAGUACUUUUUCAUGAACAAUCUAUCAGAUGAAAAAGUCAAAAUUGUGGCUUAUGGUUCUAGCCGUGGGACGGCUUCAGACUUUAUUCAACGAAUUCUCACGAAUAACCCAGGGGGG